CAGAUACUGAUGGAGACAAGCUGAAAGCAGCAAAGGUCUGGACGCUGACCGAGGUCCUAGUCAGGGAGAAGCAGCAGUGCAUGGAGGCCAAGGGCCAGCAGAAGGAGCAGCUGGUGCUGCUGGAGAAGAAGAGGACCACGUACUCCCAGGUGCUUCUCCGCUGCCUCAGUUUACUGCAGAGGCUUCUUCAGGAGCACCGGCUGAAGACUCAGUCGGAGCUGGACCGCAUCAACACCCAGUACCUGGAGAUCAAGUGCAGUGCUAUGAUCCUCAAGAUGAGGAUGGAGGAACUGAAGAUUUUGUCUGACACUUACAGUGCCGAGAAAGUGGAAGUACAUCGCCUCAUUAGGGACCACUUGGAGGGAGCCAUUCGCCUCCAAGAGCAGGACAUGGAGAAAUCGAGACUGGCCCUGCACACCUAUGAGGUCCUGGGAGAAGACUUUGAGAACCUGGUGAAGGAGUACACCCAGCUCAAACUGGCAGCUGAGAACAAGCGCUGGGCCCUCCAGGAGUUUAGCAAGGCCUACCGCUGAGUUGAAUGUAGGCAGAACCAGGAAGCAUGGAUUCUUCAUGGCCACCUUCUCUUCCUGCUCAGUGGACCACCUCCACCACAGGGGAAUAUGGGGACACUUGCUUAAAACACUGCAGUCUUCACGACACCCUUCUGGUUUCUUUCUUGUUUACAGUGACUGGGUCUCUUCUGGAAAUGUAGCUAUCAGAUUUAUAAAAUUCUGUGCAUAUCUGUUUUGCCUCAGUCCUGUGUAAUAAUUUCCUGAAUAAAGUUGUAGUAUUAUGCCU
rnacentral:lncRNA from 1 species